ACUACGGGUGGCAGCAGUAGGGAAUAUUGCUCAAUGGGGGAAACCCUGAAGCAGCAACGCCGCGUGGAGGAUGGAGGUUUUCGGAUUGUAAACUCCUUUUGUUAGAGAAGAUAAUGACGGUAUCUAACGAAUAAGCACCGGCUAACUCCGUGCCAGCAGCCGGGGUAAUACGGGGGGUGCAAGCGUUACUCGGAAUCACGGGGCGUAAAGAGCGCGUAGGCGGGAUAGCAAGUCAGAUGUGAAAUCCUAUGGCUUAACCAUAGAACUGCAUUUGAAACUGUUAUUCUAGAGUAUGGGAGAGGUAGGUGGAAUUCUUGGUGGAGGGGUAAAAUCCGUAGAGAGCAAGAGGAAUACUCAUUGCGAAGGCGACCUGCUAGAACAUAACUGACGCUGAUGCGCGAAAGCGUGGGGAGCGAACAGGAUUAGAUACCCGGGUAGUC
rnacentral:rRNA from 1 species